rnacentral:rRNA from 3 species
GUUAAGCGACUAAGCGUACACGGUGGAUGCCCUGGCAGUCAGAGGCGAUGAAGGGCGUGCUAAUCUGCGAUAAGCGCCGGUAAGGUGAUAUGAACCGUUAUAACCGGCGAUACCCGAAUGGGGAAACCCAGUGUGACUCGUCACACUAUCAUUAACUGAAUCCAUAGGUUAAUGAGGCGAACCGGGGGAACUGAAACAUCUAAGUACCCCGAGGAAAAGAAAUCAACCGAGAUUCCCCCAGUAGCGGCGAGCGAACGGGGAGGAGCCCAGAGCCUGAAUCAGCAUGUGUGUUAGUGGAAGCGUCUGGAAAGGCGCGCGAUACAGGGUGACAGCCCCGUACACAAAAGCGCAUGUGCUGUGAGCUCGAUGAGUAGGGCGGGACACGUGGUAUCCUGUCUGAAUAUGGGGGGACCAUCCUCCAAGGCUAAAUACUCCUGACUGACCGAUAGUGAACCAGUACCGUGAGGGAAAGGCGAAAAGAACCCCGGCGAGGGGAGUGAAAAAGAACCUGAAACCGUGUACGUACAAGCAGUGGGAGCACAGGUUUACCUGUGUGACUGCGUACCUUUUGUAUAAUGGGUCAGCGACUUAUAUUCUGUAGCAAGGUUAACCGCAUAGGGGAGCCGGAGGGAAACCGAGUCUUAAUUGGGCGUUAAGUUGCAGGGUAUAGACCCGAAACCCGGUGAUCUAGCCAUGGGCAGGUUGAAGGUUGGGUAACACUAACUGGAGGACCGAACCGACUAAUGUUGAAAAAUUAGCGGAUGACCUGUGGCUGGGGGUGAAAGGCCAAUCAAACCGGGAGAUAGCUGGUUCUCCCCGAAAGCUAUUUAGGUAGCGCCUCGUGAAUUCAUCUCCGGGGGUAGAGCACUGUUUCGGCUAGGGGGCCAUCCCGGCUUACCAACCCGAUGCAAACUGCGAAUACCGGAGAAUGUUAUCACGGGAGACACACGGCGGGUGCUAACGUCCGUCGUGAAGAGGGAAACAACCCAGACCGCCAGCUAAGGUCCCAAAGUCAUGGUUAAGUGGGAAACGAUGUGGGAAGGCCCAGACAGCCAGGAUGUUGGCUUAGAAGCAGCCAUCAUUUAAAGAAAGCGUAAUAGCUCACUGGUCGAGUCGGCCUGCGCGGAAGAUGUAACGGGGCUAAACCAU